rnacentral:rRNA from 1 species
AACGAACGCUGGCGGCAUGCCUAACACAUGCAAGUCGAACGAGAUCCUUCGGGGUCUAGUGGCGCACGGGUGCGUAACGCGUGGGAAUCUGCCCUUAGGUUCGGAAUAACAGUUAGAAAUGACUGCUAAUACCGGAUGAUGACGUUAAGUCCAAAGAUUUAUCGCCUGAGGAUGAGCCCGCGUAGGAUUAGCUAGUUGGUGUGGUAAAGGCGCACCAAGGCGACGAUCCUUAGCUGGUCUGAGAGGAUUAUCAGCCACACUGGGACUGAGACACGGCCCAGACUCCUACGGGAGGCAGCAGUGGGGAAUAUUGGACAAUGGGCGCAAGCCUGAUCCAGCAAUGCCGCGUGAGUGAUGAAGGCCUUAGGGUUGUAAAGCUCUUUUACCCGGGAUGAUAAUGACAGUACCGGGAGAAUAAGCCCCGGCUAACUCCGUG